CGCUGUGGAAAUUAAUGGAUGUAAUAAACUGAAACUACAUCAUUUGAAUAUCACAUCAAGCUACCACGAAAUAGUGACUUGAUUUGUCAUAUGAACACAAAUAAGCGAGGCUAAUCCGACCUGUUGCUUUUAAAAACACCUGCGGCGGGAAAUUCAAAAACAAUUCUGAUAACAUCAUCAGUUUUUGCAAUCUCUGGAUGUUUCUGGAAAUCCUUCAAGUAAUCGAUAUGUUGGCGUCUUCUUUACGAGCCGGUAGAGACGAAAUACAGCAUA
ensembl:processed_transcript